CCGCGAAUGUCUCGUGUAUCCACGCGCCCGCCGCUCGCUGCCGUCGUGCGAUCACUUCGCAGGACUGCAUUUCGCUAAGUGUUGCCUGCGGUAUCGAUGGUUACAUUACAUUCUUCCGCACGCUUGUUUUGUAAUUCGAAAUCUAAAUUAAUCGUAGCAGCCAAUAUAUUUGUUAAACCCCUUUGAUGAUUAGUGUAGAACAAACGUGUUCAGUCCCAUUAAAAUUCAUGCUUUGAUAAUAGAGUUUGCCCACUGUUGAGGUUUUAUCUGAAUUUUCGUGAUGAAUCAUUCGUAUAUUUCAUUCGUUAGAAUAUAUACGUAAAAGAUCUUUUCAUCAAGGGGAAAAAAUGUAAAGACCCUCCAAGGGGGUGAGUGAGUAAAGUGCUCUAUUCGCUGCGAGUGUCAUGUCCUAUUCGCGUAUCAGAAAAACAAGUUUAAGACGGUUCGUCGUUUUUUGCUUUGCUGUGUGUGACGUGUGAUCUUUGCAAUGUCAAGUGUGUGAUACAUAAGAGAAUAGUAUUUGCAUAAGUAACUAUAACAAACAAACAGAAAUUAAUUUCACGAUUGAAAAGGAAAUAACGAGCUCUCUUGUUAAUUAUUUUCCUUCGAUCGUGGACAGACAGUUUUGUUAUUUUUUUCAUCCAACAAUCCGCCGAUUUCUAUACAUCGCCAACGACGAUACCAACCCAUAAAUGAAAUAAUAUGCGGUGUAUUCAAUAGUCUGUUCCUCUAAUGGCUCGGAGAAUUCGAAGAUAGGAUUUUCAAAUGGAAAGUUAGCCAAGCUCUUAACGAAAUGUGACGGAAGCAGAUAACCUUUGUUCGGCUAAGAGAAAAAUAGAAAGCAAAUAAAUUGCAGUGGUGGCAGUAGCAGCGGCAACAGCAGAGUGUGGAGCAAAAAACAUUUGAUUGUCGAUUCAGCAGGAUUUGUGGUAGAGGGAUUGGUAAUGCGGGGAUGUGGAUUCGUUGGUACCGAAUAGGAGGCCGAGAAGGCUGUGGCAUAUCCCUACCGUCCCUUCUUUUAUUGUGCUGGUGUCAUAUAAGCGUUAAUGCCAAUCUGACAAAUGCCGCCAUACCCAAUAUUCCUCAAAGUCCCGCUUCAUCGGAAGUCUCACUGCCGACAUCGACUAAUCAGCUUGACAGCGAGUGUAGAAAUGUGACCGCCGACGGAAAUACGGGUGCGGGACUGAGUGUAGUGAGCCACAGUCCGACUUACCCCCAUCCGCCGAUAGUGCCUCCAACAUUUUUCAACGGAGCUUUCACUUGCCAGCCCUAUCACGGCUUUUAUGUCAAUCACAUUUACUUUCAACUGGCGAACGCCUUUUUUUUGCUAUCGCAUCUUGCCCCCAGCGGGAUACACGGAGUUUUGUAUUUGCGUUCAACACUCCUCGUUGGCUGCGCCUUUCUUGCUCUCUGGGGUUGGACCAUAGCUUGUUGGCUCGAUGCCGCCCUCUGGAACGCACUCUUCGUCGCUAUUAAUUUUCUCCACGUUUGCAUGCUGCUCUACAGGCUCAGGCCUAUUAAAUUCUCAAGAGAGAUUGAAGAGGUAUAUGCUGCCGUGUUUCAGCCUCUUCGUGUGUCACGACAUCAAUUCAAGAAAGUACUCAGCUGUAUGAAAAUAAUACGACAAUUGAAAUAUCAGGAAGUUUAUGCCCAAGAAAAAGUCACCAAGGUUGACUCGCUCUCCUUAGUCCUCUCUGGAAAACUAGUCGUGUCACAAAACGGACGAGCACUUCACAUAGUCUUCCCCCAUCAGUUUCUCGAUUCGCCAGAAUGGUUUGGCGUUUCGACCGAUGAAUAUUUUCAAGUCUCAAUAACUGCGAUGGAGGAGUCGAGAAUAUUGCUUUGGCACCGUGACAAAUUGAAAUUAAGCAUAAUGAGCGAUCAAUUUCUGCAGGCAGUUUUUGAUCACAUACUCGGCAGGGACGUAGUCAAAAAAUUGAUGCAGGUGAGUGAAACAAUGGCAGCGAGCGGUCAUCAACAACAGAACGGUCAGGUAAUCGGUCUCGGUGGAAUGCCAGGAAUCGAGAGUGAUCAAGAGACUAAACUUUUCGUGGUGAAAAAGACGGGUGACAGUCAGGGAAUAACAGCAUUGAUAAGUCGUCAGCUUCAAGAGGAAAGAGUGCCGCUGCUGUACACGAGCCCCGAUGUGUUGAACAACGCACUACAUCAUCUAAACCACCUUCACGCGCCCUACAUACUUCCCGUGUAUCCUGAGCGGAACAGCAAUCGAUCCUCUCCAACAGAAUCCUCGCGUACGAGUUCCAUGGCUCCUUAGAAAAAAAAACCAAAACAAAAACAAAAAAGAAAGAAAAAAACCAAGCCCAUAUAAGCUACCAGCAAAAAACUGUGAUCCUGAGACGCGCGUUUUCGUUGGAUUCGUAAGAAAAAAAAAAGAAAAAAAAAUAUGUAAAGAGGCCAUUGCUACCACAGGGUAACUCUACCCGCGUUCUUUUGUCCCGGUUACAAUACCCAGGUUUGCCUAGGAUUAAAUACUAUUACUGUGCAGCAGGAGACCCAAACGCAUGGCGAUUAGGACGGAUUGAAGAGACUGAUCACGAAACACCAGUUUGAGAGACAAACUACAAUUGAACUCUUUUGCCGAUUGGCCGAGCAUCCUCCACAGUCAAUAAGAAUAAAAGUCGCAUCCUGCGUUCAACUAAGCCAAUUAUUUAUACGGUAUCAAAGAAGGAAAAGGUAUAUCUUAGUCCAUGCUUCCAAAGUCAUUUUUGUUCGUUUACAAAACGCAGUAAGAGAUUCAUAAUAUCAUGGUUUUUCAUUGUUUUAUUUAUCCGUUCAUUCGCGCAGCUUACUUAUGGUGGCAUGAUCGAUGCUCGAACCAAGAGCUCGGUCUUGUAUUUCUUCCGCAUUACUUUUCCAUUUCCGUAUAUUGACGUUAUUUUUUGCUACGUAUAUGAAAGUUUAUUUGUAAAAUGAUUCUAAAACAUUGUUUUUUUUUGUAAUGAAAUGUAAGACUCAUAAUCAUGGAACAAAAAUAUUGAAACAAGAAGAAAAACGCAUGGUUGAGACUUCUAAGUGGAGACGGUUGUAUAACAAAGAAAAUCAAUAUUUGUACGGAUAAGAAUUCAAUGGAGGAAAAAAUUACUGUAUGCUGAUAAAGGCGUUUGGAUAUUGUUUCAUAAAGAUAUUCGUCAUGAUAAAUACUAAAAGAAAUCGCUGGAGACACUAGAAAAUGAGAUAUAUUGUUGUACUUAAGUCGAUUGCGAAAAAAUUUGUUUUUCGUGUGACAAAUAUGUGUUGUGAUCCGUACAAAGUUAUUAUUUUUAGAAUACUGUGAAAAAAAUAGCAACAAAGUGCAUAAGAAUUCGGAAAAAUAUUUGUUUUUCGUAACGUUGAUUAUUUUAAAAUUGAAAGUGGAUGAAAAAAGAAAUUGGGUUCGUGUCAAGAAAAAAAGUGGCAGGAUCAACAUAACAAUGAAUCAAUUGAUUGGAACGUCUCAUUGCAUUGCCAUUUUCCUUUAUUCGUUUUUAUUAACAAUAUGGCAAUACCGCUCGUGGGGCUUCCUACAAAAGUAGACAGACGAUUUUAAUGGACGUGACUGAGAGGAAAAGAAAAACAAUCUAAUGAUCUGUCUUAUAAAUAACGGAGGAUAUAAUUUAUCAUGGAGGAUGAAUUUCGAAGUAGGGUUGUCACUAAAUUUUCCAAGCCCCAAAAAAAUGUAUGAAAAAAAACCAGAAAACAUAAAACGGAGGAGCACAAAAAAUGUAGAAAAUCCUCGAGACGAUAGCAUUGCCAAGCAAUGCUAUCGCCUGUUAUACGCAAUUAUAUUUAAUAAAAUGAAGAAAAAGAACAACAAAAAAUAAAGUCAAAUUUUGUAAGAUCGCCACGCGCGUCUUUUACUUGUCGAGCCGUACUUAUAAACAUAUACACACGCACUAAACGCAGACUCCUUCCUCCACUCUACUUUGUGGUUAAAAGCUUAUUCUUUUGUACGGUGAAAAAGUAGUCGAAAAAACAAUGAAGAAUGAAAAAAUGAUUCGGACCAUCGAGAAUUUCGUUGGUCGUGGGCUAUGUACGGAUGAGACAAGUAAAAAAACGCUCCAUUAUAGCGAUAAAUCGCGUAUUUGAAUAAUAUAAAAGAAAAAACGAAAUACGAAAAAAAAAAAACACCCACAGUCCGAGGCGAUAAGUUGUUGUACCUAAUGCAUCGCACUGUGAUUCAUAAGAAUGAAGCGGUUAAAUGAUGAGAAUUUUCUAAAUAAAAACCCAUUGAAAAUGCAUUAAAACACAACGUUCAAAGGUAAAUAUUUGAUGAAGGAGCAAAUGAAAAAAGAAAAAAAAGAUCGAAGAGAAGUUCUCCAGCCUUCUACGAUUGAAUAUACGGUGAUACCGCAGUGCAAGCUGUAAAUACACGUUAUAAAUAUGUAUAUAUCGUAAAGAUGAUACUUAAAGAGAUUAUACGAAAUAUUUAUGAUCGAUUCGCACUCGAAUACAUUAUUUUCAGUCCAGUUAUCCUUUUUUACCUACGGUUAGGAAAAGGGAAAUAUUGCUUUGUUUGGUCGAGUUUGAAAUUCGUUGGCAGCUAUAUAACGAGACGCUCAAAUAUAUUGCUUACAAUUGUUUGAUAAUUUGCUUUCUGACUUUUGAAAUGUUUUCAUUGAUGAAUUGAAGGAACAUUGAACGACCAAUACUCGAACAUGAAUCUAUUGACAACUGCUUGUGGUGCGAAACGAUCGUAAUAUUUGUGAGAAUAUAAAACAAAAUAAAACUCCCGUAUGCCUUGACAAACGCGUAUAUUGUUGAGUGUAGAUAUAUACCAUUUAAUGCAAUUUAUAUAUAUAUUAAAAGAAAAAUGCAUGUGACGACGAGGAUCGCUGUUACACAGCGUCAAAGUAUACAUACGUAUAAGUGUAUUACUACUGUUUAGAGAUCUCAUAUAACAUUAAAAGAAACGUGAGACGUCUA